UACGGAGGGUGCAAGCGUUAUCCGGAUUCACUGGGUUUAAAGGGUGCGUAGGCGGGCAGGUAAGUCCGUGGUGAAAUCUCUGAGCUUAACUCAGAAACUGCCAUGGAUACUAUUUGUCUUGAAUAUUGUGGAGGUAAGCGGAAUAUGUCAUGUAGCGGUGAAAUGCUUAGAUAUGACAUAGAACACCGAUAGCGAAGGCAGCUUGCUACACAAUGAUUGACACUGAGGCUCGAAAGCGUGGGGAUCAAACAGG
rnacentral:rRNA from 1 species